CUGGGUGUGAUGAGGAACUUGAAGGCUGAUCUCUGCAAUGAUAGGUCAUGUAUUCAUACUGUCUGAUUCAG